ACAGCCACAUCAUGCUGAAACACUGGUUCCCAUCUGAUCAUCGAAGUUAAGCAACAUUGAAUCUGGUCAGUAUCUAGAUGAGUGACCGCAUAGGAAUACCAGAUGCUGUAA